GGGGACUGCCAGGUGACCCUGGAAAUCCAGAGUGGGUAAGGCCUGUCUGAUUGUGUCUAGGCGACCCACUCUUGGUUUCCAUGGUUGCCCUGGA
ensembl:miRNA